GACGAACGCUGGCGGCGUGCUUAACACAUGCAAGUCGAACGGAAAGGCCCUGCUUUUGUGGGGUGCUCGAGUGGCGAACGGGUGAGUAACACGUGAGUAACCUGCCCUUGACUUUGGGAUAACUUCAGGAAACUGGGGCUAAUACCGGAUAGGAGCUCCUGCUGCAUGGUGGGGGUUGGAAAGUUUCGGCGGUUGGGGAUGGACUCGCGGCUUAUCAGCUUGUUGGUGGGGUAGUGGCUUACCAAGGCUUUGACGGGUAGCCGGCCUGAGAGGGUGACCGGCCACAUUGGGACUGAGAUACGGCCCAGAUUCCUACGGGAGGCAGCAGUGGGGAAUAUUGCACAAUGGGCGGAAGCCUGAUGCAGCAACGCCGCGUGCGGGAUGGCGGCCUUCGGGUUGUAAACCGCUUUCGCCUGUGACGAAGCGUGAGUGACGGUAAUGGGUAAAGAAGCACCGGCUAACUACGUG
rnacentral:rRNA from 1 species